ACAUGCAGAAUACACCCAGGUCAAUGAUGAUCAGUGGUUGCUGGACUUUUUUUAACCGAGCAUUUUUAACCGAUCUGACCAACUUAAUUUGGAGCUGCAAGGAAAAGACAAAAAUUAAAGGCAGUUAAUGCCUUUAAACGGAAAAUGCAACCUCUGUUCUCAAAGCUGCAGCGCCAUGUUUUUGGGAACUUCCAAAACCUCGCAUCAGAGUUGGAGACGCAGCGGAAGGCUUGUGCGCAGUUGAACUCAUGGACAGUUCUGGAACUUACUCACAGGGGAAAAGUACCCAAACAUGAGGAAAUGUGCCACCUCCUUGACUGCAUUAUUUGGCUCUACUUAUUUAUGUGAGUCAGCCUUUUCCCUCAUGAAGAUCAUUAAGUCCAAAUACCGUUCCACAAUGACUGAUCAUCAUUUGGAGGCCUGCUUGAGGCUGGCUACCAGCAGCUACUGUCCGGACUAUGCAACCCUGGCUGAUUCUAUUCAGUGCACGUCGUCAGAGUAAGGUGGCGAUUGCAGGCGCAUUUUAUCCGAACUGCUUCCUCCAGGGAACUCUAUGGAAACGACCCCAGGACCACCAUAGUGGUGUGUAAUCUCCCUCCAUUUGCAUUCCUCUACUAUAAACAGCUCCAGUCUCUCUUCAGACACUGUGAUUAAGUCAAAUCCAUCUCCUUUGACAGCUCCAGGGCCUAUGUAGAGUUCUACCGCUCGUCAAUGAGAGGUUCUGGCGUUCUCCCAGAGGUCUCUCUGUCUCUCCUCCUCGCGCAGCAGAGACUUCCUCUCCAUCUCAACAUUUAACCCGCUGGAGAGGUGGAGACUUGGGCAGGGGGGUAGUGUAUCUCACACCUCAGAUAUACACGGGUGAAUGUGGAUUUUCAGAAUCAGUCAGUGAGCCCUGUCGGGGUUCUGAGCAGCUCCAUUGAGAAUCUUCCGUCUAACCCUGUCUUUAUCGUCAAUAUCACCGAGGUCAUCGAAGUGGGGCAUUUCUGGGGUUUCCAGGCUCACGAGGCAAGUCUGGAGAAACAGGGGUGGCUGACAGUGGCCGUUAAUACACGGGUGCUCUGCCCACUUCCUGUCUCACUUUAUCCAAAUCUUCUGUCUUGCCCCUUUCUCUGAAACUCACACCAAACCUGGGAACUACUACAGAGCCAAAAUACUGCAUGUCAUGGGGAGUAAUGUGGAGGUGUUCUUUGUGGACUUUGGAAACACUUCCAAAAUGCCAUGUAACUCUCUGGAACUUCCUGCUGACCGGCAAGCUCUGCCCUUUCAGGCUCAGGAGUUCAGCGUGGCGUGUUUGGCAUCAUCAGCACAGUCAGUCACGAAGUCAGUGUUAUAGAGUAAAAGUCUUUUAAUUCAUUCAGUACAACAAUAUCAAGAAACACAAACAAACAUCACAAGCUCUUCACACAACUUGGUGACGUCUUCCACGUCCUUCAUCUGAAAACACACAGACGAAAUAGAAAUCACACGCUGUUUAUUAAUUUGCAUAAUUUUCUGCGGCUGGUUCAUGUAAAUACUCGUACAGUCAGGCAGGUGUUGGUUGUUUAAGGAAACUUUCUAUUUAACAAAAAAAAAAUUCAGCUCAUCACAAAGCUUUUGGUGACGUCUUCCACCUCGUUCUGAAAAGACACAGACGAAAUAGAAAUCACACGCUGCAAGGACACAGCCAGGUUCUGUUUUACACACACCUGAGAGGAGAUAAACCAGCUGACCUUUCUAAUCUUACAUUAAACAUCCAACAAGCAGCUUUCGGGUCACAGUGACUACGUUUACAUGGACAGCAGUAAUCUAAUUAUUGACCUUACUCUGAGUAAGAUCAUAAUGUGAUUAAGGUGUUUACAUGCGUCGCUUUUAGAAUACUCCUGUCAUGUUCCCGUUUUACAUGUUUUAGAACAUAAUUAGAUUAACAGCCUGCGUCAUUACGUCACUGCGCCACGACGUCCCUCCAGAAUUUCACAUAUCGACAUACAGUUCGUCUUCGUUAUGGAACCGUAUACAGUUUUGGGUGUUUUUAUGUAAUUUUUAAUUUUUUUAUGAACGAUUCAAGUGCAGUUAAUUAUUUGUCAUGUUGUACCUGCUAAUACACAACUGCUUGAAGCCGUGGGCUGUGUCCCUAAUCGCGUAGUUACCGUCUAUAUAGUAGCCGAGAUACAUGUAUUUUUCCCCAUUACAGGCCUAUAGUAGGAAAGUCUGCGAUUUGGGAUACAGCCGAGCUCUCUUGUUCGCCGCAAAACUGCCGUGUGAGAUCGUGUCCUGUCGCAAAAUGCGAAGAAAACUCACACGACGUUCAUAGUGUGAUUAAGGUGUUUACAUGUGUGUAAUACACAUCCAUAAUGCGACUAAAACAGGAGUACUCCACCUGUCUUAAUUAGAUUAUUGCUUACUUCGAUUAUGACCUUAAUUAGAUUAAGGUAAAAAAUUGCUGUUUACAUGGUAGUUUCUUAAUUAGAGUAUGGUCUUAAUCGGAUCAAGAGUGGAUUAUUGUUGUCCAUGUAAACGCAGCUAGUGAGAGAUUAACGACAAGUUCCUGUAACGCUUCUUCUGCUUUAAACUCGAACCUGAGGGUUACGACGCCAUCUCGAACUAAACCAACUUCUAUCUACAAAGCUACAGUGCAGAAGAGUUACUCUGACCGGGGCAGGGGCUGGUAAGGUGUGAAAGCAGCUUGAAGUAUUUCAGUGUAGUACAUUCUGCUCAAGACUCACUUUGGCUCCCUCCGCUCUAAUCUUGGCCAGCUGCUGGAUCUGCUGGAGCAUUCAGCGCAGCUAAGCGUGCUUGAGUUAGUUGUCUUACUGUUUGUGCUGCGCUGCACGUUAAACACAGUCAGUCAAACAGGUGCGUAAUGAACGCGCACAGAGAGACAGAGAAUAAGAGUGAAUAAGUUCAGACGUUACCCGAACAAAACAGUGGCGUUAUUGAGGAGUUGCUUGAUCGGGUCCUGCGCAGGUGGUUCUUGCGGAGGCGGUCCUUGCGCACGGGAUCUGGAUCGACGUCCGGACAUGGUCCAGUUAAUUUUUUUUCCACAAAACUAUAAGUGAACAGAAAAGUUUAUCUAUGAAUAUAUAUACACUAAAAUAACAACAGUGAAUGCAAACUUGUCCCAAUUUGUGAAGGUCAA